AAGUUCCUUCGGGAAUGGAUUAGCGGCGGACGGGUGAGUAACACGUGGGUAACCUACCUUAUAGUGGGGAAUAGCCUUUCGAAAGGAAGAUUAAUACCGCAUAAGAUUGUAGUUUCGCAUGAAAUAGCAAUUAAAGGAGCAAUUCGCUAUAAGAUGGACCCGCGGCGCAUUAGCUAGUUGGUGAGGUAACGGCUCACCAAGGCGACGAUGCGUAGCCGACCUGAGAGGGUGAUCGGCCACAUUGGGACUGAGACACGGCCCAGACUCCUACGGGAGGCAGCAGUGGGGAAUAUUGCACAAUGGGGGAAACCCUGAUGCAGCAACGCCGCGUGAGUGAUGACGGUCUUCGGA
rnacentral:rRNA from 1 species